GGCCGGUUUGAGGAAGCGGUACCUGUUCUGGAGCGUUCCAUUGAGGUUCUGGAUAGUACUGACGGGUUGGAUCAUGCUUUGGCUAAGUUCACCGGGUAUAUGCAGCUUGGGGACACGUAUUCUAUGCUGGGGCAGCUGGAUCGGUCCAUUUCGUGUUACGAGUCGGGUUUGAAGAUCCAGAUUGAGGCUUUUGGGGUUUUGGAUCCCAGAGUUGCUGAGACAGGUAUUUAGCAGAGGCCUAUGUUCAAGCAAUGCAGUUUGAUGAGGCAGAAAAGCUCUGCAAGAAGAUCCUUGAAAUUCACCGGAAUCAUAGUCCACCAGCA
rnacentral:misc_RNA from 1 species